ACAAGUACCGUGAGGGAAAGUUGCAAAGCACUUUGGAGAGAGAGUUAAAGAGGACGUGAAACCGAUGAGGUGGAAACGGACAGAGCUGGCGUAUCUGGCCUGUAUUCAGCCGCUCGUUGUCGGCCCACCGUUGCUGCACUCCAGAUUGGGAAGGCGGCGUGGGCGCUGGCUGCGUGUGGUGCAUUUGCAGGUGGAGUGCGCCGAGGCGCUCGGCUCAGCGGCAUGAGCUCAGCUUUGAGGCCAACCGUGCAAACGGUCUGGUACCCGGGCUGGGGGAGUGUUGUUUGGGCUGGGUGUUCCCCUGGGGCUGGGGGUUCGGGCCCGGGUGGGUUCCCAGCUGGCGGUCGGUGGCCGUCGCUUACAAAACUGGCCGACAAUCCAUUCCGUUCCGCCCCAACCCUCCAUGUGGCCCGGCCUCGGGGUAAAACCCGUUCUUUUGUCCCAACCGUCUUGAACCACGGACAAUGGAUUUUAGCGUGGGCCCCAGUCUUUGGCCGUUCAAAACCCAAAGGCGCAAUGAAAGUUAAAGUCCGGCUUGGGCCGCUGAUUUGUGAUCCCGGGCGCCCCGGCGCACGGGCGCCACAUACUCCCUUCCCGCCGGGGGGCGGUGGGGCGGAAAACGAACCUACCCCCUUAAACCCGAAAGAUGGUAAACUAUUCCUGACCAGAAGAAAGCCAGAAGAAAGUCCUGUGGAAUUCCGAAUCCAAUCUGACUGGCAAAUCGAUCCCCUGGCUUGGGUAUAGGGCCAAAAGAGUAAUCGAACCAUCUAGUAGCUGGUUCCUUCCGA
rnacentral:rRNA from 1 species